UACGUAGGGUGCGAGCGUUAAUCGGAAUUACUGGGCGUAAAGCGUGCGCAGGCGGUUUUGUAAGCCAGAUGUGAAAUCCCCGGGCUCAACCUGGGAAUGGCAUUUGGGACUGCAAGGCUGGAGUGCGGCAGAGGAGACUGGAAUCCUGGCGUAGCAGUGAAAUGCGUAGAUAUCAGGAGGAAUACCGAUGGCGAAGGCAGGUCUCUGGGCUGACACUGACGCUCAUGCACGAAAGGCGUGGGGAGCAAACAGG
rnacentral:rRNA from 1 species